AUUGAACGCUGGCGGCAGGCUUAACACAUGCAAGUCGAGCGGAGCGAGGGUGCUUGCACCUUAGCUUAGCGGCGGACGGGUGAGUAAUGCUUAGGAAUCUGCCUAUUAGUGGGGGACAACAUUCCGAAAGGAAUGCUAAUACCGCAUACGCCCUACGGGGGAAAGCAGGGGAUCUUCGGACCUUGCGCUAAUAGAUGAGCCUAAGUCGGAUUAGCUAGUUGGUGGGGUAAAGGCCUACCAAGGCGACGAUCUGUAGCGGGUCUGAGAGGAUGGUCCGCCACACUGGGACUGAGACACGGCCCAGACUCCUACGGGAGGCAGCAGUGGGGAAUAUUGGACAAUGGGGGGAACCCUGAUCCAGCCAUGCCGCGUGUGUGAAGAAGGCCUUAUGGUUGUAAAGCACUUUAAGCGAGGAGGAGGCUCUUUUGGUUAAUACCCAAGAUGAGUGGACGUUACUCGCAGAAUAAGCACCGGCUAACUCUGUGCCAGCCGCCGCCGUAAGAC
rnacentral:rRNA from 1 species